AUUGAACGCUGGCGGCAGGCCUAACACAUGCAAGUCGAGCGCAGAGGCGGACGGGGGAGUGAUGCCUAGGAAUUUGCCUGGUAGUGGGGGAUACCGUAGGGGGAUGGGCGCUAAUACCGCAAGCUAUAAAAUGAGUUUAGGUUGGAUUAGCUGGUUGGGGGGGUAAAGGCUUACCAAGGCGACGAUCCGUAACUGGUCUGAGAGGACGAUCAGUCACACUGGAACGGAGACACGGUCCAGACUCCUACGGGAGGCAGCAGUGGGGAAUAUUGGAAAAGGGGCGAAAGCCUGACCCAGCCAUGCCGCGUGUGUGAAGAAGGUCUUCGGAUUGUAAAGCCCUUUAAUUUGGGAGGCGGUACCAACAGAGUAAGCACCGGCUAACUACGUGCCAGCAGCCGCGGUAAUUC
rnacentral:rRNA from 1 species